AAGUUGUUGCUAUUACCCAAAAGUUUGUGACCUAAAAUUUAGUAAAUUACUUUUACUUUUCAGCCAAAACAAACGCGCCAAAACUGGUUUCCCUGUUCUAUUACUUUUCCCCAAAUUCUUUGCGCGCAAUUUUAGUUUCCACUGCAUCUAGGUUUUCUCUUUUCAUUAUUCUGCUAAACUAAGUUCUUGCAUCUGGUGUGUUCGAUUAUUCGAUCUCCAUCGCUGUGUUCUACCCAAAAUCUGGUAAGCAUAUGAUGGAUAAGAAUUGGCUACUUAUUAAGAAUAGGACAUUACCGGAAUACUUGAAUGGUGUGGAAUGUUUUUUGAACUUCGCAUUUUCUAAUCCUGAGGUUGGUGUAAGAAUCCAAUGUCCGUGCAUUAAAUGUAAUAAUGUUCUUAGAAAAUCACGUGAUGAGGUAAAGACUGAUUUACUUAGGUGGGGAAUAGAUCCGACAUAUGAUAGGUGGAUUUAUCAUGGUGAGUCGGAUUCAUCAUCAGAUGAUGAAAUAAAUUUUGAUACAGAUUCAAAUUUUGGGAAUGAUGAUGCUCGCACUUUUGAAAUGUUGCAUGACAUGUAUCGUGGUGUUCCCUCUAAUAGUCGUGAGUUUGAUGAGACCACUGACUCUAUGUACGAAGAGCCAAAUAUAGAAGCUAAAAGUUUUUAUAGGUUAUUAAAAGAUGCAGAGCAAAAGUUGUAUCCAGAUUGUGAAAAGUUCUCCAAACUCUCGUUUGUAAUGCGUCUUUUUCAAGCAGAAUCGGACAAUGAUGUCAUCAUAAUACAAAGAGAAGAUAUUGAUGGAGUGAGUGUUGAAGCACCUUCUCUUAAUAAUGAGGAAGAAGUAGAUUUAUAAAUUGGAGAUGAAUCUGAUCAUGAAAAUGGGGAUGACUAUAAUAAUUCUGCAACAGAUGAAGAAUAUCUUUAUGAGAAAGAAUAUAUUGAAAACGAGGAUGAUGAUUGGUUGUGAUCUUCAACUAGUCUUCAAGACAAUUUUGCUUAUUUCAAUCGCUUGUCGAAAUGGUUACUUUCUACUUUCUACUACUUUUAUUUUUUAUUUUAUUUUUUGUGAUUUUUGCUUUGUAACUUUAUUUGUUUCUAAUUAUUUCUGAACAUAUCUUGCAUUUUUCUUGUUUUUUUGCUGCCUUCACUUCUACAUUUGGCUAAUGUCCAAUAGUAUAAUUUUUUUUAAUAUGUUACAGCCUAUCAUGACAAUAAAUGUGCAUGUUUCUAAUAAUAUUGAACCUACAGCCGGUGUAGUUUCAAAUUUACAGACAGGUAAGUUAUUUCAUUUGUUAAAAUUCUAGCGUUUUAAAAUCCCUAGUUUGUACAGGUUUAAUUUCUAUACACCUAUAUAUUUUCCUAUGUUGCUGAAGGAAAAAAGAGAAAGGGAAGGGGAAGACAACAGGGCUUUCAUUUCUAAAGAAACGGAAAGACAGUGACAAUGGAAAGUUGAAGGUGAUUAUUCCACCAGAUCGAAUAGUAGUAGUAGGCCCUGGAGCUAAAGAAAGUCUUCAGCAUGCUAGGCAUGAUGUCAAGAAAUGGAAAGAAGUCCCUAAUCUAGUAAAAGAUAGAAUUGUUUCUCACAUGCUGGUAAUUCUCUAUUAUUAAUGCUGCUUUUGUGAAACUUGUUGGAGAAAAGCAAGAAUAUUGCCGCGGUCAAGGAUCGGGAGUCAAGCCACUAGUAAGAGAUCUAUGCAUGUAACUCAAGAGCAACUGCAAGCACAACAAAAGGAGGUGGAAGUAGAACGCCAUAAACGAGAGAGUGUAGAGUGCAAACUAAUAGAAGUGGAAAAUCAACUUGAGGAGGAGCGGAAAAAACGAGAAGUCAUGGAAGCUCGUCUAUUGAAUGAUCAAAAAAUGUUAAAAAAGAGAAUGAUGGCACUAGUAUCCCAUAUGCAAAGUUCAGAGGUAUUUCGUUUGUUUAAGGUGUUAAAGUUUCAAUUACUUACUUUUGAUCCUAAGAAUAAUUUUAUUAAACUACUUGAGAAUAAAAGAGAUAGCAUCACUUUUCCUGUUA